GUGAGGAAUAUUGGUCAAUGGGCGGGAGCCUGAACCAGCCAAGUCGCGUGAAGGAAGAAGGAUCUAUGGUUCGUAAACUUCUUUUGCAGGGGAAUAAAGUGCAGGACGUGUCCUGUUUUGUAUGUACCCUGAGAAUAAGGAUCGGCUAACUCCGUGCCAGCAGCCGCGGUAAUACGGAGGAUCCGAGCGUUAUCCGGAUUUAUUGGGUUUAAAGGGUGCGUAGGUGGUUUGAUAAGUCAGCGGUGAAAGUUUGCAGCUUAACUGUAGAAAUGCCGUUGAAGCUGUCGGGCUUGAGUGUAAAUGAGGUAGGCGGAAUGCGUGGGGUAGCGGUGAAAUGCAUAGAUAUCACGCAGAACUCCGAUUGCGAAGGCAGCUUACUAAGCUACAACUGACACUGAAGCACGAAAGCGUGGGGAUCAAACAGGAUUAGAAACCCCUGUAGUCC
rnacentral:rRNA from 1 species